rnacentral:misc_RNA from 1 species
UUUCCGUAGGUGAACCUGCGGAAGGAUCAUUACCACCUAUUCAUCCGGGGCUGAGCAAUCAGCACCGGUGAAUUAUCAACCAACCGUGAACCAUAACUGACACAGCAUUCAGUGAAGUGUUGCUUGGGAGCCAAUAUGUGGGUCGAAUGGUGCGCAAGCAUCAUUGGUCAGCUCUUGGCAACAGAAACCUUUCACGAGGUUUCAGCUUCACUGUCUUCUGUUCCGACCUUCGUCGGCCUGCCUCUAUGGCUGGCGUUGGUCCCGUUUCAAUAACCCCAUCUAUUGUAUACUUUGUAUAUCUGAUCUUAACCACAUUGACAUUGUCGAUUUGGUGUAUUCUUAACAAAAUACAACUCUUAGCAAUGGAUAUCUUGGUUCCC